rnacentral:rRNA from 1 species
AUUGAACGCUGGCGGCAUGCCUUACACAUGCAAGUCGAACGGCAGCACGGGAGCAAUCCUGGUGGCGAGUGGCGAACGGGUGAGUAAUAUAUCGGAACGUGCCCAGUCGUGGGGGAUAACGUAGCGAAAGCUACGCUAAUACCGCAUACGAUCUAUGGAUGAAAGCGGGGGAUCGCAAGACCCCGCGCGAUUGGAGCGGCCGAUAUCAGAUUAGCUAGUUGGUGAGGUAAAGGCUCACCAAGGCGACGAUCUGUAGCUGGUCUGAGAGGACGACCAGCCACACUGGAACUGAGGCACGGUCCAGACUCCUACGGGAGGCAGCAGUGGGGAAUUUUGGACAAUGGGCGCAAGCCUGAUCCAGCAAUGCCGCGUGCAGGAUGAAGGCCUUCGGGUUGUAAACUGCUUUUGUACGGAGCGAAACGGUCUUCUCUAAUACAGGGGGCUAAUGACGGUACCGUAAGAAUAAGCACCGGCUAACUACGUGCCAGCCGCCGCAGUAACAC